AUUGAACGCUGGCGGCAGGCCUAACACAUGCAAGUCGAGCGGAUGAAGGGGGCGUGCUCCUGGAUUCAGCUGCGGACGGGUGGGUAAUGCCUAGGAAGCUGCCUGGUAGUGGGGGAUAAGGUCCGGAAACGGGAGCUGAUACCGUAUAGGUCCUGAGGGAGAACGUGAGGGAUCUUCGGAGCUAGCGGUAUCAGAUGAGCCUACGUCGGAUUAGCUAGUUGGUAGGGUAAAGGCUUACCAAGGCGACGAUCCGUAACUGCGCUGAGAGGGUGAUCAGUCACACUGGAACUGAGACACGGUCCAGACUCCUACGGGAGGCAGCAGUAGGGAAUCUUGCACAAUGGGCGAAAGCCUGACCGAGCCACGCCGCGUGUGUGAAGAAGGUCUUCGGAUCGUAAAGCACUUUUAGUUGGGAGGAACGACAGUAAGUGAAACUCUGCAUGUUUUGACGUUACCAACACAGUAAGCACCGGCUAACUUCGUG
rnacentral:rRNA from 1 species